UGUUGUGUUCCACUUUCUUGCCUUUUUGCAUUAGUUGAAAGAAAAUCGCUAUCGUAAUAAUACAAAUUAAUUAUCUUUCAAUUGUAAUUAAUCUCAUCAAUAUCCUUUGUGACACGACUGUUUGAUGAGCCGUCCCAGCGCCACUAAGAGAGAAAGCUUUUUAUCGAGACAGUUGGAUUCAACGCGCUCGGGAGCAUCAUCCUCGAUGGCGCGUGACGAGCGGCGAGACGACGCCGGCCGGCGCCGCAGCACGUGGGAGGCGGC